rnacentral:rRNA from 1 species
UACGAAGGGGGCUAGCGUUGUUCGGAAUUACUGGGCGUAAAGGGCUCGUAGGCGGUUUGUCGCGUCGGGAGUGAAAUCCACUGGCUUAACUGGUGGCUUGCUUUCGAUACGGGCAGACUGGAGGUAUGCAGGGGAGAACGGAAUUCCUGGUGUAGCGGUGAAAUGCGUAGAUAUCUGGAGGAACACCGGUGGCGAAGGCGGCAUCCUGGACCGGCAUUGACGCUGAGGCGCGAAAGCUAGGGGAGCAAACGGG